AUGAAGUCGGAAUUGCUAGUAAUCGCAGAUCAGCAUGCUGCGGUGAAUACGUUCCCGGGCCUUGUACACACCGCCCGUCACACCAUGGGAGUCGGUAACACCCAAAGUUGGUAGCCUAACCGCAAGGAGGGCGCCGCCUAAGGUGGGAUUGAUGACUGGGGUGAAGUCGUAACAAGGUAAC
rnacentral:rRNA from 1 species